CGUCAUCACAACACUGUGGGAAUUUCCUGGAACCACAUGAGCUGCUCCCGUCCUGUGCUUCGUUCAUCUACAGCUGGUCGUAGUGUUAUUUUCACCUGCUUUUUCUUUUUUUCCCCAACUCAACAACCACUUCCGUUGUUCCGCCGCAGUUCCAGGCGGAAUACAGCAGUGCUUUUAAAGCACGUAGCAUGCUACUGUUUCAGCUACCAGAUGAUGUUUUGUAUCACAUAUUGUCUUAUUUGGACAGUAAAACACUGAGUCGUCUCUCCCAGGUUUCUAAAGCAAUUCGGCACAUUGUAAGCCGCGAUGUGGUGUGGAAGAAGAUUGCCAAAGAGUUGUUAAACACUGGAAUUACUCGAUAUUGGACAGACAUAUAUCCUCACAUCUUGCUUAAGGACAGAGUGAAGAUUUCUCAAAACUGGUGCAAUGGUGUCUGCAAAAGGGAUACUCUUUUAAAGUGGAAAACAAAAUUGUUGCCAUGGUUACAGCUGGAUGGGGACACACUAUUUUUGUCUCAGGCUGGAGAAAUAAGAGCCUACUCUCUACAGCAAGAUCGCAGGAGGGCACGGCAUAACCCUAUAAAAAUCUACUCUGGCCACCAGGCAGAUGUCUGCAGAUUUGUUCUUAAUGACUCACACCUAAUCAGUGGUGGCAGUGAUGGCAAUAUACUGGUCCACGGUAGAAGAAAUGACAGCCCAAUCAAGUUAUUAGGUCAUAAUCAGGAAGUAAACUGCAUUGACUCAAAAAAUGAACUAAUCGUCAGUGGCUCUAGGGACCAAACAACCCAGAUCUGGACAUUGACCUCUAGUAGCCGCAGAGAGAUAAUUUCAUUGCAUGACAGAGUAUGGUCUGUGGCAAUUAAUCCCGCACUGAGUUCCUUUGUAACUGGUACUGCUUGUUGUAAGAACCUCUCCCCGCUUCGCAUCUGGGAUGUUGAACGGUUGGUGUGUUUAUGCAGUCUAGGUUCAGCUUUCCGUCGCGGGGCUGGUGUUUUGGAUAUGGUGUUUGAGACACCGUUUCACCUCUUCACCUGUGGCUAUGACACAUUUAUCCGACUCUGGGACCUUCGCCAAAGUCCACAUAAGAAUGUAAUGGAGUGGGAGGAGCCUCAUGACUGUGCCUUAUACUGCAUGCAAACAGAUGGAAAUCACAUGAUAGCCAGUGGCUCCUCCUACUAUGGCGUCGUUCGACUUUGGGACAAAAGACGGACUGAAUGCUUACAGUUUUUCCAGUUGAGCUCUGACCCAGUGAGUAGCCCAGUGUACUGUCUGCGUUUCAGCAGCACUCACCUGUAUGCAGCCCUUUCUACUGCACUCCACUCAUUAGACUUCAGACACAACCUCAACAUCAAUGUCAGAGCUUUGCGGCACUGGCUUGGUUCCACAUCCCCACCUUCAUGAUGCCAAAAUUCCUGCGUUCGUGUAUGAGGACACAUCCAACUUUGUGGCUGUGAAGUGCCCGAUGACGUAAGCAUAUCUGUGACGGCCAAUGACUGCAGAGGAGACGACACUGUUCCUGAUACAACCAAUCGUGGGAAGGAAGAGACAACUUAUUAACUCUUGAAGUUUAGCACAAGUUGUUUUGGUUUGGGUGUUAGCCACCCUAGCAGAUGUUCUUGGUAUUGAACAAUGUGACGCGUUGGCAGCGUUUUGGCUCUUAAGAGAUUUCGCAUUAUUG